rnacentral:rRNA from 1 species
AUUGAACGCUGGCGGCAUGCCUUACACAUGCAAGUCGAACGGCAGCACGGGGCAACCUGGUGGCGAGUGGCGAACGGGUGAGUAAUGCAUCGGAACGUGCCAUUGAGUGGGGGAUAACGUAGCGAAAGUUGCGCUAAUACCGCAUAUUCUGUGAGCAGGAAAGCAGGGGACCGCAAGGUCUUGCGCUCUUUGAGCGGCCGAUGUCAGAUUAGCUAGUUGGUGAGGUAACGGCUUACCAAGGCGACGAUCUGUAGCGGGUCUGAGAGGAUGAUCCGCCACACUGGAACUGAGACACGGUCCAGACUCCUACGGAGGCAGCAGUGGGAAUUUUGGACAAUGGGCGCAAGCCUGAUCCAGCCAUGCCGCGUGAGUGAAGAAGG